UAGUUAGAGUAUUGUCAGUACGUCUUAGUUACAUUAAGAAAGGCUUACCAGUUAAGUGGCUAC
rnacentral:tRNA from 1 species